GGCUUGGUGGUGUAGUGGUAACACGCCAUCUAUCCGUACGCGGAUCAGAUUUCUUAUGGUGGAGGUCCCCCGUUCGAUUCGGGGCCAGGCUA